ACGCUCGACACCUACGGGGGGCAGCAGUGGGGAAUAUUGCACAAUGGGGGAAACCCUGAUGCAGCAACGCCGCGUGAAGGAAGACGGUUUUCGGAUUGUAAACUUCUGUUCUUAGUGAAGAUAGUGACGGUAGCUAAGGAGCAAGCCACGGCUAACUACGUGCCAGCAGCUGCGGUAAUCUGAGCGGGCUGGCAAGGC
rnacentral:rRNA from 1 species